rnacentral:rRNA from 1 species
GGACGAACGCUGGCGGCGUGCUUAACACAUGCAAGUCGAACGAGGUAGCAAUACCUAGUGGCGGACGGGUGAGUAACGCGUAGAUAAUCUGCCCCUCGGUGGGGGACACCCGGUCGAAAGACCGGCUAAUACCGCAUACGCUGGUCGGUUGAAAUACCGGUCAGGAAAGGUUUACUGCCGAGGGAUGAGUCUGCGUCCGAUUAGCUAGUUGGUGGGGUAAUGGCCCACCAAGGCGACGAUCGGUAGCUGGUCUGAGAGGACGAUCAGCCACACUGGAACUGAGACACGGUCCAGACUCCUACGGGAGGCAGCAGUGGGGAAUUUUCCGCAAUGGGCGAAAGCCUGACGGAGCAACGCCGCGUGGGUGAUGAAGUUUUUCGGAACGUAAAGCCCUUUCAGUCGGGAAGAAUCAAAUGACGGUACCGACAGAAGAAGCAUCGGCUAACUACGUGCCAGCAGCCGCGGUAAGACGUAGGAUGCAAGCGUUGUCCGGAUUUAUUGGGCGUAAAGCGUACGUAGGCGGCUUUCUAAGUCUGAGGUUAAAGACCGCGGCUCAACCGCGGGAGUGCCUCGGAUACUGGGAGGCUGGAGGGUGGCAGAGGAAGUCGGAAUUCCCAGUGUAGCGGUGAAAUGCGUAGAUAUUGGGAGGAACACCAGUGGCGAAAGCGGACUUCUGGGCCAUUCCUGACGCUGAGGUACGAAAGCCAGGGGAGCAAACGGGAUUAGAUACCCCGGUAGUCCUGGCCGUAAACGAUGGAUACUAGGUGUCGGAGGUAUAGACCCCUUCGGUGCCGGAGCUAACGCAGUAAGUAUCCCGCCUGGGGAGUACGGUCGCAAGGCUGAAACUCAAAG